rnacentral:lncRNA from 1 species
GGAUCUACUGUAAUGGUUUAUAUAACCGUUGUAAUAAGUAUCUCUACAACGUCUGUUCAUUAAAAAAAUAAUAGAUAUGGCGACGGUUUUCAGUUCGCUCCCAAAUUUCCCUCCUCUAUUAUCUCAACAAAAAAAAAAUCCUUAAAACAUAGUCCUUUUUAAGUCAUUUUAAUAUAUUAUAUUCUAAUUGUAUUUUGUUCUUUUGAGAAAAGCUGAAUACUUCGAAGAUUGUAGCACUCUCAAACACAUCGAGCUUUGAAAUUUCUAUGUGACCAACAAAUCUCUUUUAGAAGAGCCGAGAAUCGAAGCUCUGGGUCUGAUCUUAAGAGCCGAGAAUCAUAACUCUGAGUUAUAACAUAAGAUUCGUGACAAUCUCUAAUGGAGUGCUGAACUCGAUCUCUUCAUCAACUUUCUUCAUAGUUUGCUAGACCUCAAUUUCUCGAUUUUCAGCAUUUUCCAGGUAUUUCUCGAUUUCCUUGUUGUAUAAAGGGUUAUUUGUCCUUGGAUGGUGAAAAGUUAUGAGAGUAUAUUUUUUCGUUAGGGUUUUGUAUUUAUAGUAUUAAAAAUUGUUAGUACUCUAUAUUCAAAAAUAUAUUCUGGAAACAUAAACUUAGUAAAACUAGAAAUGGAGAAAAAAAUAAAAAUUAAUCUGAGUCCACUGAAUUUACAGUAUUUCAUUAAGGAACUUAAUACCUGUCACGACCCAACUCUCGCCGGAGCCGCGACGACACCUAACACUACUUGCUAGGCAAGCUAACAGUCACACAAUAAGAACUAAUUUGAUAAAACAUGGUUUAAUAAACUCAAUAGCAGAAAUAUCAUGAAAUAACUGAGAAAGCAACAACAAUACUGCGACAACCAUCCCAAUGAUCAGGUGUCAACAAGUACGUGAGCACUACUGAAAUCCAAAAUACAAGGCCCAGUCCUCAAUACACUGUAUGGAAAAUAGAAUAGUAAUAAUAGAAUUAAUAAAAGAGAACUUCAACAUCUGCGGACGACAUAAUAGCUACCUCGUAGUCUCCCAGAAGCUGGUAUCAACACAACUCUAGCAAUCACCACGUCCGAAAGUACUUGUAUCUGCACAUAAAGUGUAAAGUGUAGUAUGAGCACAUCAAUAACUAACAAACUAAAUCUUGGACUGAAAGCAGUGACAAGCUCAGAAUAAACAGUCAGAAACCAAUAUCAAUAACUAGUAACAACUUAGGAUAUAAAGGAAAUAGUGUAAAUAAAUACCUCAAUGAUAUUAUGUUCAGCUCGUUCACAUUCCAGGAAUUUAGACAUGCUUCCCAAGUAUAACAGUUAAAGCUCAACACAAUUAACAUUUCAGUUACCAGAUAACAUGAGAAAAAUAUAUCUAUAUGUCUACAUGUCAAAUAUGCGUACCAAGUCAAUAUCGUCACAGUGGAACUAUCAAGUAUGACCAUACUCAAUACACUCUUGGUCCCUGACAUAAAAACCUCUCUAUCACACACACAGUAAUACUCAGCACUAUACAGGUACAUGGCAUAAAUGCCCCUCACCAAAGCACGUAUAUAUAACACUGUGCAUACGCCCACUGCUUGCAUGUCAGACUCCGGAGGUACGGAUCCUGUCCAAGCGCUAAUCAAAAUCACAUAGCCCAAUAAUGGAGCCUGGUGCAUGUGUCGCCCCAAAUUAGUAACACUUAGCCCAAUAUGAGCCUGGUGUACGUGUCACCUCAAAAUCAAUACCAAAUCGGCUCUAUGGCCCAUGCUCAGACAAUAACCGCUCAAGUCUCAGUUAACCACAUCUCACAUUACUCAGUUCAAUAGUGUUACACAUACGAGACAUCAACAACAUGUGAGGAAUCAAAUAAGAAAGUACUGAGACAGAGAUAUCAUACACGGAUAUUGCAUCAUGACUGAGAGUAUGUGUACAAUUAAGGUAUAUAGCUCAGAAACAUCAAGAAUAGCCCCAUCGUAUCUCAAACAAAUAGCACAUAGCCUAAACAUGAUUUCUAAUAUGAAACAGAACUCAAAUAAUCAUACACGGAUAUUGCAUCAUGACUGAGAGUAUGUGUACAAUUAAGGUAAAUAGCUCAAAAACAUCAAGAAUAGCCCCCAUCGCAUCUCAAACAAAUAGCACAUAGUCUAGACAUGAUUUCUAACAUGAAACAGAAUUCAAAUAAUCAUACAAGUUUAGAAACACGGAUAUAGUAAGGUGUGAUGGCCAAAACAAACCCAUAAUAGUCUAAAAACCACCUCUAAUCAUGAAUACUCCGGUGCACGCACACACGCCCGUCAUUCCAAUACCUCUCAUAUAACAUAGUUUCUAGUAGUAAAUACUUUUAAAUCUAAGUUUAGAUAUGUCACUUACCUCACAAUGUGCAAAUCAAUACUCCAAAAAGCUUUUUCCAUGCAAAUCGGCCUCCGAGCGACUCGAAUCUAGCCAAAGCAACUUAAUAUCUUUAAUAAAAGCCACAAGAAAAAAAUUCAUAUAAUAAUGCUAAGGUCUUUGAUCAAAAUUGGAAAGUCAUCCUAAAAAGUCAACCCCUGGCUCGCACCCGGAACCCGACCAAACUCACAAAUUUCGAAUACCCAUUCUGUUACGAGUCCAAAUAUAUGUGUUUUACCCAAUUCAAACCACAAGUCGAUCCCCAAAAUAUCAAAUCUCACCUCCAAUAACAUAGCCUAAAAUCCCCAAAUUUUACCUUCAAUUUACAUAAACUAGGUGUAAUAAUCAAUGGGUAAUUAAUAUUUAUCAUCAAAAUUGAAUAAUCUAUACAUACCUCUUCAAUUGCAGCAAAAAACCUUCUAAAAAUUGCCUCCAACCGAACUCCAAAAUUCUAAUUAUGAGAAAAUAACCAAGCCCUCGUUUUUAAAUGUUCUGCCCAGUGAUCCCGCAUCUGCGGUGCAAAAUCACCAUACUUGCGGCGCCGCAUUUGCGCUCACUAGCUCGCAUCUGUGAGACCCACUAACUGCCCAACCAUGCGCACCCGCGGUCCCUUCUCUGCACAUGCGGGAACAUUUCUGCGAUCUAACUUCCGCAUCUGCGAACUCCCAUGCCUCCGUCCAGGUCCGCUUCUGUGCUCACUCGUCUGUAUCUGCGGGCUCGUAAAUAUGGAAAUAUCCUCACACCUGCACUCUUCCCCAACUCCAGCCUAGCCACCUUCUGCGACUCCUUGCCUGUACCUGCGGACACACACCUGUGAUAGGUCCUCCGCAAGUGCGAAUGCACCAACUUCAACAGUCCUUCAACCAUGUAACACAAUCCAAAUAAGCCGAAACCAAUCUGAAACACACCCGAGGUUCCCGGGACGCCAUUCAAACAUACCAACAAAUCCUAUAACACAGUAAGAACCUACUCGAUGCCUCAAAUCACAUAAAAAUAUCAAAAUCAUGAGUCACACCCCAAUUGAAGAUUAAUGAAACUAAUGAACUUUAAACUUCUGAAAGUUAUGCUGAAUCACGUCAAACCAACCCGGAAUGACCUCAAAUUUCACAUACAAGUCCCAAAUGAUACAACGGACCUUAUCCAACACCCUGAACCAAAAUCCAAACCCGGUAUAGACAGUCAAUUCCUGGUCAAACCUGUCCACCUUUCAAACCUUCAACUUUUAAACUUUUGCCAAAAAGCACCAAACCAACCUACGAACCUCUAAAUUCAAUUCCGGAUAUAUUCCUGAGUCUAAAUUCCCCAUACGAAACUAUUGGAAUCAUCAAGCACCUCAAAAGUGCUAAUAUACCUAGGGCUCGACUUUCCCUUCCGUCCGAAUCUCAUCACACCCUUUAUGCGCAAAACUCCGAGUAGAACCUUCUCACCUACCAUAUAUGCAAUAUCACGAGCCUUCCUGUCAGCAUAAAUCUUCUGUCUGGACUGUGUUGUAUGAAGCCGCUCCUGAAUCAACUUCACCUUCUCCAAAGCAUCACAUACCAAGUCAGUACCCAAUUACCUGGCUCCCCAGCCUUAAACCAACCAAUCGGAGAACGACAUCGCCUUCCAUAUAAAGCCUAAUAAGGAGUGAUCUGAAUACUUGAUUGAUAGCUGUUGUUGUAGGCAAACUCUGCUAAUGGAAGGAACUGAUCCCAAGAACCUGCGAAAUAAAUAACAUAGGAACGUAACAUGUCAUCCAAAAUCUGAGUAGUGUGCUCAGACUGCCCGUCUGUUUGGGGUAAAAUAUUGUACUAAGCUCUACCCAUGUACCCAACUCGCUGCACUGCUCCCCAAAAAUGUGAUGUGAACUGAGUGCCUCAAUCUGAGAUAAUAGACACGGGCACACCAUGAAGGAGAAUAAUCUCCCGAAUAUAAAUCCGAGCCAGCUGCUCUGAAGAGUAGGUAGUCACAACUAAAACGAAAUGUGCAGAAUUGUUCAGUCUGUCCACAAUAACUCAUACUACAUCAAAUUGUUUCAAGGUCCGUGGAAGCCCAACUACAAAAUUCAUGGUGAUACGCUCCUAUUUCCACUCUGGAAUAUCAAGUGUAAUUAAAUCAGAAAUAACAUGAAAUAAUGGAGGAGGCACAUACUAGAUGAAAAUGGCAGACGUACUUCCAUAAACUGUUAAAAGAGGAGGGGGACUAAAACAUUGUGCUAGGUAAGUUAGACACUCCAUGAGUUGGCGUGAUUUUGGGUAUUGUAGUCGUAUUAAGAUAGAGGAGGUGGAAGAGGUGAUGUGUUAGAUGACUAGGGGCAGAGGCCGGAUGAAAUCCGUGGAAUUUUGGAAUAAUGUGUGCCGAGCAGGUUUGAAGUGGCUCACCGGGUUGUUUGGAUUCAUUUUUAAGACGAAGAAGAUGCCCAGCGAAUGGAGGUGGAGUACGAUGGUCCCACUGUACAAGAACAAGGGUGAUAUCCAAAAUUGCAAAACCUAUAGGGGUAUAAAGUUGUUGAGCCACACUAUGAAGGUUUGGGAGAGGGUGGUGGAAGUCAGGGUGAUGAAGAGCGUGUCUAUUACCGAGAACCAAUUCGAAUUCAUGCCGGGCGUUCGACUACAGAAGCUAUUCAUUUGGUGAGAAAAUUAGUGGAGCUUUAUAAGUAAAGGAAGAAGGACUUGCAUAUGGUGUUUAUUGACCUAAAACAACGUACGAUAAAGUCCCGAGGGAGGUUCUGUGGAGGUGUUUAAAGGUCUGCGGCAUUCUGGUAACAUACACUGGGGUGAUUAGGGAUAUUUAUGAUGGUGCUAAGACUCAGGCGAUGACUGUGGGAGGUGACUUGGAGCACUUUCCAGUAUGAGGCGGUUGCACCAGGGUUCGACUCUUAGUCCGUUUUUUUUUUCCUUGGCGAUGGACGUGCUGACGCGGCACAUCCAAGGAUAAGUGCCAUGGUGCAUGUUAUUUGCUGAUGACAUAGUGUUGAUCGAUGAGACGCGAUGUGGGGUUGGCGCGAGGUUGGAGGUUUGGAAAUAGACCUUGGAGUCUAAUAUUUUCAAGUUUAGCAGGACUAAAAUAGAAUACAUGGCAUGAAAAUUCAGACACAGGACUCAUAAAGGGGACGUGGAUAUGAAGCUUGAUUCUCAAGUUAUCCCUAAGAGAGGUCAUUUUAAGCAUCUCAGUUCUAUUAUCCAAGAUAACAGGGAGAUUGACGAGGAUGUCCCACAUCGUAUUAGAGCGGGAUGAAUGAAAUGUAGGCUUGAAUCCCAUGUUCUAUGUGAUAAGAACGUUCCACAAAAACUAAAGGGUAAAUUCUACAAAGUAGUUGUUAGACCGACGAUAAUGUAUGGAUGUGUUGGCCAGUCAAGAACUCACAUGUACAGAAGAUGAAAGUAGCGAAAAUGAGGAUGUUGAGAUAGAUGAGUUGAUGUACUAGGAGAGAUAAGAUUAAGAUUGAAAUUAUUCGGUACAAAGUGGGAGUGGCCUCCGUGAUGGGCAAGAUGCGAGAGUCGAGGUUGAGAUGGUCCGAAUACGUUAAGAGGAGAAGCAUUGAUGCUCCUGUUAGGAGGUGUGAGAGGUUAGCCUUGGCGGAUCUAAGAGAAAGCCGAGGUAGGCAAAACAAAUACUAGGGAGAGGUGAAUAGGCAGGAUAUGGCGCUACUCCAACUUACUGAGGACAUGAUCUUUGAUAGGAUGGUGUGACGGUAGAGAAUUAUGGUAGAAAGUUAGUAGAUAAUUGAGAGUUUUCCCUUUUCUGUCAAGUAGUAUUAGUAGCACUCAUGUCCCUUCAUUUUCGUAGAUCUAUAUUACGUCAUGUUGUUUAGUUCAAUUUAGUUAUCGCAUUUCUUUAUUGUUAAUAUUUGGCACUACUUUAUCUUGUCUUCCUCUUUUAUCUUCUUUCCUUCUUUCUUUCUUUUUCUUCUUUCUCCUCUUCUUCUUCUCCCCCUCCUCCUCCCUCUUCUUCUUCUUUUUCCUCUCCCUCUCUUUCUUUCUCACAUUUCUGAGCCGAUGGUCUAUUGGAGACAACCUCUCUACCCUCACUAGGUAAGGGUAAGACAUGCACACACACUACCCUCCCCAGAUCCAACUUAUGGAAUAUAUUGGGAUUGUUGUUGUUGUUAUUGUUAUUUUGUAUCAUAAGGACCUAGUCUCAUUAUUGUUAGAAGGUUUCUAUUGAUGUUCUGUUCUUUUAUAAGUGAAUUAUGUCUUGUGCUUUUGGAGACUGUAAAAAUCUCUAUGUAAAAUUGCAUGUAGCAGAAUGCUAUUUUCAUGCUCCUGAAGCAGUAUGAAGUUUUCAACUUAUUUUCCCAUAAUAUUUAGAAAUUUGACUAAUUACGAAUGUUGCACAAAUUUUAGCUUGACCAAGUAGAAAUUUGAGUUUUCUUAACCGAGAGUGAUAAGAAUGUUUUUGGUAACGAUCUCUUUGUUCUUUAUUGUCGUAACCUUUUCCUCUUCCAUUUCUUCUCGUUUCAAGUCAUAUAUAUUGAGUACCAAGACACCAAUCUCCGCUUUGUGACCGUUGCUAAUUUACUUAUUCAAGCAACACUGCUUCUUUGUUCAUUCUUCACAUUGUCCAUCUGACUAUCUCUAAUGGACAUUAUUAAUUUGAGCGCAAGAGCAGGCUUUGCUUUGUUAGAACUCAGUGUUGGGGUCGAAAUAAUAAGGUGUCAUGCGAAAGCUAAUAAAGUAAACUUGGCGAUGUUAAAUCAGACGAUAAAAAUAAAUAAAUAACUAUCUAUUAUGGGGUUUAAUAAAAAGUGAAAAAUGAUGAUUGAGGUUGAUACAGGUUUAUAACUAAGUAAGAGGGGGAUAUAUAUAAAGGUUGAUAACUUUAUGUUGUAAAAAUUCCUACUCGGUACUCUCUCUCUUAAUCUAUAAACUUGUGUUAAUAUUUUAUCAAAAUUAUGAACUGUUAUUACCCCUUAAUAUUUUUUUAUUUUUUAUUAUUUCACUCUGUUCAUCUCUUAUUUCCAAUUGUUUAAAGAUCUGGAUCUUUUCUUAAUAUUUUUUUCUUUAACCUCACCUUGGCCUCAGUUAAACAUGUUUUACCCGUUUAUACCUUUGUGGUGAUUUUUGGGCGUAUCUUAACUGGUUUUUCCUAGAAAUUUACAGGUUAAUCCAUCAGCUUUGUUAAAAGAUUGGAAAGAUAACCAUAUACUUAAAGUGAAUUUUUUAAUUAUUUACAAACUAACAACUAGGGAAUUAAAUACAUAAGAUAUGGAUAUCAAAUAAAAAGUAAAUAAAUCGGGGUAAUACACAGUAAAAUAAUUUAUAGAUAAAAACAGUAACUUACAUGUUUAUAAGAGAGAGAUUUCCCUUUCGGUGAAUCCGAAAGAGUGUUGUCGACUUGGAAUUAAAAAUUUGCACACUUAAGCAUAAAGCCUUGCUUAUUUUACAGGUUUACUAAGACAGAUAAUACUAAGGCAUACAUAAGGAAAUAUUUUACAACAAAGGGGGUUGUGGAUGGAGGAUGGUUGAUGAAGGAAAUGGUGAAAGAGAGAGUGUUGUUUUUCUUCUGAUUGCUUCUUUUGGUUUUGUCUAGUUCUUCAAUCUUCCUCUUCUUAUAUAGCCUUACCUUCAGACAAAUAUUUUCAAACAGUAUUAGGUAAUGUUCAAUUUAAACCACAAUCUUUAGUAGAACAGACUAAUAUGGAUAUAAUAAGUUUUGAAAAACGUAAUUUAAUAUUUUUUCCACCUUAAAACAUGGCAUUCAGAAUUUUAUCAGAAUGCGUCAUAGACAGAUCACAAAGGUAUUUGAUGGAUAAUUUAUGGGUAGCGUAUAAUAAAAAAGACACUAAAUAUUUUAUAGCAGCUCUUAAUACUUUAGGACAAUAUUUUACGGACAAAAACCAAGAAAAAAGAUUUAAAAAUUAUGUGGUAGUACAUGGCAAGACAAAUGGUAUUUCUCAGACUUGGAUAGAAGUCUUAGACUCCAUUAAAGAUUUAGAAAAACCUCUCUUUAAAGAUUUUAAUGAUUUCACUGAAGUAUUAGACUAUGCAAGGGGAAUAUUAGGACCAAAUUACUACAUCUCUCCAGCACUAAGACGAAACCUAGAAAGAACUCCUCAAUACAAUAUCCAAAAAUACAUAGACAAGAUAAUUUUCUGUGAUCAUUGGUCAUCAAUGACUGAAGCUUUCAAAAGACUUAACCAAAAGAAUGAGUCCCUAGAACAAGAGAAGGCAAGAUUAAUGGAGCAGGUAAAGAUAUUAGAACAAAGACUCCAAGCAGUAAAGUUUGAAUUAGUACAAUCACAGACUCAGGUUAUCUCCCAGCCAAGGUACAGUUCACAACAAUUGAGUUCUCCAUCUCAAUCUCAGAAUAAAAUGGAUGAGAAGAGUGUGCAAUCCCCACUGAAUGCAAUAAAAUUCAUUGUAUCGGAUAAAAAUACAGCUAGUCCGGUUCAAACAAUAGCCGGUAAAGACUCAUCAAAUUCGUUUAUGGCUGUCACUUUGCCAAAAAGUGAAGAUGGAGGCUCAUUAAGACAACUAAAAAGAAGACUACCUAAAACAUUGAUACAAGGAGAAGUCUCGAAAAAGAAAGGAAUAAUUUCAAAAAAGAAAAAAAAUGAUAAAAUAGAAAAUGUAGUUAAGCAAACAUUAAAAAAAUUCUUUCAAGACAAACAUGUUAACAGAAAUCCUAGUCCAGAUCCUAGUCCAAAAAUAAAUUCCAGUCCAGAAAUAUCCCAUAGAUCAGGAGAAGAUGAUAAUUACGAAGAUGAGAACUACCCUGAUAACUACCUAAAUUAUCAAGAUGCUCAGGAUCCAAAUGAUGAUUCAAGAAUGAGUUUAGACUCAAUAACUCUACACAAUCUUGAUACAUAGAAGCAAGAAAUAAUCUGAAAACAAAAUGAUAGACACCAAAGGUACAAUAAUGCAACCAACAAAAGAAGAAAAGACACGAUACAUGUGAAAAAAGAAUAGUACUGAAAAAUUAUUCUACUAUAAAAGAGAAACUUAUCGAAAGAAUAAAUUCUCCCUCCUAAACAAGAAUCUCUUGAGGACUGCAUUGUGAAUGUUAUUGUGCUGUUAUGUUAACGAGGGAUCCUUAAUUUAUAGAUGUCCACAACCUUUUUCUCAAAGAAAGGGAUUUGUCAAAUCUGAAAGAGAUUUAUAUUUUCUUUUAAGUAAACGUAAAAUCAAUUAUGUUAAAUAGUUUAAAUUUCCUUCAAGUAAGAGGUAAAAUUCACAUAGUGGUAAGAAAAUCAUGAAAAAACCUAAUAAUUCUUCUAUUUGGCCUGAAUUUUCUGAUAGAAUAAACUUGAUCUUCAUCCUUCACAUAAUCAUUAUAAUAGCUGCUUGUCAUGAUUAAAAAUAUGUAUGGGUUAAAAAUAGGAGUCAUGUACGCUAAAAGUAAAUACGAGUUAAAAAUAUUUGAGCCCUGCGUUAAAAGUAAACAUGCUUAAACGUGGAACUCUACAUUAAAAGUGAGCAGAGUUAAAAGUAGAGCUCAUGCGUUAAAAGUAAGCAUGGGUUAAAAAUUAAAUUCCAUAAGCAUGGAUUAAAAAUAAUUUUUAUUUUUUUAAAAUGCAAUAACAAGAAUGUUGAAAAUAUAGUUGAGAACAUGUCUCCACAUAUAGUACUCGGUCAAAUUGGCUGCAGCUUGAACUAAACACACUAUGAACAUAUCUUCAACCUCAUCGAACCAUUAGAUCUGAUAACACCUCUUGGGAUCGAAAUAACAAGGAAUCAUGUGAAAGCUAACAAAACAAAUUUUGGCGAUGAUAAAUCAGAUGACAAAGAAUAAAUAUACUAAAAAAGGCAUAAUAUUUUAAUAUAAUUUGGUCAAUUGACUUACAUGAAUCUACUAAUUUAAAAGAGCAAAAAACUUAGUGAAAGAAUAACUUCUCCCCCUAAACAAAACUCUCUUAAGGACUAUAAUGAUAUUGUGUUAUUGUGUAAAGGAGAGAUCCUCAACUUAUAGGGGUCCACAACUUUUUCCUCCAAGAAAUGGAUUUGUCAAAUAUGAAAGAGAUUAAUAUUUUCCUUUACGGAAAAGUAAAAUCAAUUAUGGUAAACAAGCUCAGGCAGGUUCCAAGAGCUUGGUUUGAAAGGUAACAACAAUCUAUAAGAGCCGAAAUAAGAGCAGAGAAAGGAGCCCUUCCUUCAAGUAAUAUGUAAAGUCUAAAUAUAAUAAGAAAAUCAUAGUAAAUCCUUACACCCGAUGACCAUGUCGUGCUUUGCUUUGUGACGAUAUGUGUGGUGGGAUUGCAGUUGCUGGUUAGCACUGCACAUAUGUGUCGCUUGGCCAAGACAAUCCGAACUGCCUGGACAGGACCAUUCUUGACUACCAACAUUUCUCAUAUGCAUGUAAAUUGCCAAUAUAUCAAGGAAUUCAAUUCCUAGCAGCGACGACUGUUGAUACUUACUGAUAUCAUGAAAUUCGACUCAGCUAUACAAUGGCUACAAUUUCAAAACUAUGAGCAAUUGAAGUUGUGUCUAGACACGGUUUACUUGCUAAAUUUGUUAGUUUGGACUGGUUUGAAUUGUUUGUUAUCAAGUGUUAACGAAUCUAAAAAUAAGAGGCCAGCAAACUUUGCUUGACCCAAAUAUUAAUGUCAUAUAACAACAACCCAGUAUAAUCUCACUAGUGGGGUCUGGGGAAGGUAGUUUGUACGCUGACCUUACCCCUACCCUGGGGUAGAGAGGCUGUUUCCGAUAGACCCUCGGUUCCCUCCCGACAAGAACUCCCCACCUUUGCUCUUGAGGUGACUCGAACUCACAACCUCUUGGUUGGAAGUGGAUGAUGCUCACCACUAGAGCAACUCACUCUUCUUGAUUAAUGGCAUAUAACGAGAUUCAUAUAACGCUUAAUAGAUAAACCUAACAAGAAACAAUGUAUACAUUCCUGAGUUCAAGUUUGAAAAUCAAAAUUUAGGGAUUAUUUAAUGAUAUGGGGCAGAAAACCAGAUUUCUCCUUCCUUCACAUAAUAUAAUUACAAUAAAACCUUAAAAAAUUUAAAGGAAUGGCCAAAGAAAAAACGAAAGAAAGAAAUGUAUUUCCAUUGUGCCCUUGGGAUAUUGUCAUGAUGUUAAGCUAAAAGAAUCAGCUAUUCUGUAGAAAUCAGUAUUCACCUUAGGCCAGAUCGACUCUGGAGCCUGGGAAUUCAAAGUGAAUAACUUUCCUCCCCUGACACAGCAAACAGCAACAUUGUGUCUCCGGAAUGCAGGGCUCUCAACUUGGAAUUCCAAUGUGUAGUAUUUCAGAUUCCUCGAGGAAGAAUCGUCUCUUACAUUUGCUUGAAUUAAUGUUCCCUUUACAUCAGGGAGUUUGCCUGAUCCUGUUAUAGUCCGCACUAUAGCUUCUCCUACUUCCUUUGGUCCUCCAAAUGUCUCUAUCCUGCCAAAAUAUACCUCACAGGUAAUUUACCAGAUUAUAUGGAAUAUACCAGCUUAAGCUACGAUUAGGGAGCUUACGAGAAAUCAAUAGAAACUGGUGAGACAAUGACGCUAACAUUGAGCUCCCCAUUUGACCCCGGUGGACCAAACGCAACAACCGGCUCAUUUACAUUCUUCCGCCUCCGAUCAUCAUUGCUCAGAGGUGGUGGAUCCAGUGAUCUUUCUAAUUUUCUCGCUGCUCGAUACAAUACUGUCUGAUCUCCCACCCAAUUUGAUGGAUAUACAAACUCUAUUUGUAAACGUACAAAAAGAAUUUCUUUCACUUGAAAAGAUAAAAAGAAAAGGAACAUAACAAAUUGGAGUAGUCAUUUUUUUUCCCAAUGACAUAAUUUUAUUAGCAUUAUGCAAUCCACAAGUUAUUUUAGUUACUUUCAGUGUAUUCCAUAUUUAUAAUUUGUGUGUCAAAAGUUCUUAGUACAGUAAUUCUUUUUAAAACUUUCACUCAAUAAAAUAUCAUAUACGUGUAAAAUGAUACAAAUGGGGCACAAUGAAACACGUACUAACCAAAUCCUUCAAUCGCAUCAAGGCAUCGGCUGUAACCUCCAAUAGGAUAAAUUACAUCAAGCCUAAGACUCCGAGCACUAUCCGGCGACAAGCCUAGCAGGGAACUAGUGACUCCAGCAA